CAUCGGCGUUGGGCGUGGGGCUUUGGGCGGAUUCCCAUUUCGCCUCGAGUGCCCGGGUCACCCGGGUGCCGGCGG
rnacentral:tRNA from 3 species